UACGUAGGGUGCAAGCGUUGUCCGGAAUUAUUGGGCGUAAAGAGCUCGUAGGCGGUCUGUCGCGUCUGCUGUGAAAACUCAGGGCUUAACCCUGAGCUUGCAGUGGGUACGGGGCAGACGUAGAGUGCGGUAGGGGGAGACUGGAAUUCCGUGGUGGUAGCGGUGAGAUGGCGCAGAUAUCAGGAGGAACACCGGUGGCGAAGGCGGGUCUCGUGGGCCGUAACUGACGCUGGAGACGCGAAAGCGUGGGGAGCAAACAGG
rnacentral:rRNA from 1 species